UACAGAGGUCCCGAGCGUUGUUCGGAUUCACUGGGCGUAAAGGGUGCGUAGGUGGCGAGGAAAGUCGGAUGUGAAAGCUCGGAGCUCAACUCCGAAAUGGCAUUGGAAACUACCUUGCUCGAGGGUUGGAGGGGGACUGGAAUUCUCGGUGUAGCAGUGAAAUGCGUAGAUAUCGAGAGGAACACCAGUGGCGAAGGCGAGUCCCUGGACAACUCCGUGACACUGAGGCACGAAGC
rnacentral:rRNA from 1 species